GCCGGGCGUGGUGGCGCACGCCUGUAAUCCCAGCUACUCAGGAGGCUGAGGCAGGAGAAUUACUUGAACCCGGGAGGCAGAGGUUGUAGUGAGCCGAGAUCACACCACUGCACUCCAGCCUGGGUGACAGAGGGAGACUCUGUCUCAA
rnacentral:sRNA from 1 species